GAGCGGGCAUCGCAAGAUGUCAGCGGCAGACGGGAGAGUAACACGUGGGAACGUGCCCUUCAGUUCGGAACAACCCAGGGAAACUUGGGCUGAUACCGGAUACGUCCGUAAGGAGAAAGAUUUAUCGCUGAAGGAUCGGCCCGCGUCUGAUUAGCUAGUUGGUGGGGUAAUGGCUCACCAAGGCGACGAUCAGUAGCUGGUCUGAGAGGAUGAUCAGCCUCACUGGGACUGAGACACGGCCCAGACUCCUACGGGAGGCAGCAGUGGGGAAUAUUGGACAAUGGGCGCAAGCCUGAUCCAGCCAUGCCGCGUGGGUGAUGAAGGCCCUAGGGUUGUAAAGCUCUUUUGUGCGGGAAGAUAAUGACGGUACCGCAAGAAUAAGCCCCGGCUAACUUCGUGCCAGCAGCCGCGGUAAU
rnacentral:rRNA from 1 species